rnacentral:rRNA from 1 species
CCCUUAGAUGUUCUGGGCUGCACGCGCGCUACACUGAAGCUAUCAACACGUUUUCCCUCCCUGAGAAGGGCGGGUAACCUUUUGAAUCAGCUUCGUGGUAGGGAUCGGGGCUUGCAAUUGUUCCCCGCGAACCAGGAAUUCCUAGUAGACGCGAGUCAUAAGCUCGCAUCGAUUAAGUCCCUGCCCUUUGUACACACCGCCCGUCGCUACUACCGAUUGAACGUUUUAGUGAGGCAUUUGGACCGACGCAUCUCAGUUUAACCGCUGGUUUGUGUUGGAAAGACUUCCAAACUUGAGCGUUUAGAGGAAGUAAAAGUCGUAACA